UUCAUUGUGUCAAAAGUCCUC
rnacentral:piRNA from 1 species